rnacentral:rRNA from 1 species
UACGUAGGGGGCAAGCGUUGUCCGGAAUCAUUGGGCGUAAAGCGCGUGUAGGCGGCUCGGUAAGUCCGCCGUGAAAGUCCAGGGCUCAACCCUGGAAUGCCGGUGGAUACUGUCGGGCUAGAGUCCGGAAGGGGCGAGUGGAAUUCCUGGUGUAGCGGUGAAAUGCGCAGAUAUCAGGAGGAACACCGAUGGCGAAGGCAGCUCGCUGGGACGGUACUGACGCUGAGACGCGAAAGCGUGGGGAGCAAACAGG